rnacentral:rRNA from 1 species
UACGGGGGGGGCAAGCGUUGGUCGGAAUUACUGGGCGUAAAGGGCUCGUAGGCGGCCAACUAAGUCAGACGUGAAAUCCCUCGGCUUAACCGGGGAACUGCAUCUGAUACUGGAUGGCUUGAGUUUGGGAGAGGGAUGCGGAAUUCCAGGUGUAGCGGUGAAAUGCGUAGAUAUCUGGAGGAACACCGGUGGCGAAGGCGGCAUCCUGGACCAACACUGACGCUGAGGCACGAAGGUCAGGGGAGCAAACGGG